GACGAACGCUGGCGGCGUGCUUAACACAUGCAAGUCGAACGGAAAGGCCCUGCUUUUGUGGGGUGCCCGAGUGGCGAACGGGGGAGUAACACGUGAGUAACCUGCCCUUGACUUUGGGAUAACUUCAGGAAACUGGGGCUAAUACCGGAUAGGAGCUCCCCCUGCAUGGUGGGGGUUGGAAAGUUUCGGCGGUUGGGGAUGGACUCGCGGCUUAUCAGCUUGUUGGUGGGGUAGUGGCUUACCAAGGCUUUGACGGGUAGCCGGCCUGAGAGGGUGACCGGCCACAUUGGGACUGAGAUACGGCCCAGACUCCUACGGGAGGCAGCAGUGGGGAAUAUUGCACAAUGGGCGGAAGCCUGAUGCAGCAACGCCGCGUGCGGGAUGACGGCCUUCGGGUUGUAAACCGCUUUCGCCUGUGACGAAGCGUGAGUGACGGUAAUGGGUAAAGAAGCACCGGCUAACUACGUG
rnacentral:rRNA from 1 species